UACAGAGGGGGCAAGCGUUGUUCGGAAUUACUGGGCGUAAAGGGCGCGUAGGCGGGCCGCCAAGUUCGAGGUGAAAUCCUCCGGCUCAACCGGAGAACUGCCUCGAAUACUGGAGGCCUCGAGGCGGGUAGGGGCACGCGGAACUGUGGGUGGAGCGGUGAAAUGCGUUGAUAUCCACAGGAACUCCGGUGGCGAAGGCGGCGUGCUGGACCCGAUCUGACGCUGAGGCGCGAAAGCCAGGGGAGCAAACGGG
rnacentral:rRNA from 1 species